AAAGGGUGUGACCCAAGUGCAAGGGUGACGCAAAAGUGAGUGGGAGAAGAGGAAAUGAGGGUCUAGUUAAUAUUAAAUAUUCAAUCGUCAGAGUCAUGGGUCCUUCUUUGGGCUGGCAAACUGUGUGUGUUAAACUGGCUGAAUUUUAGAAGGGUCCAAGUAAUAUUCCUACGGGAAGACGCACUCAUUGGAAGACUGGAUGCUGGCUGCUUUCUCUCAGCUCUGCAUGUGGCUGAAGAGACAUUUUUCUCGCUGAAUCGCCGCGAAAUUCCUCUGGACACUCACCCGGCCGCUGCUCCUAACUUCCUCCCUCAAACCCAGUGUGAUCCGUGUUGCUAUGGAGACCGGACAAUGAAUGAGUUCUAGCGCCCGGAGAUCUGCCCGAAUGGAGCAAACUGAGAGGAUGAAGCGAGGCUGCAGAGGACUCCUGUAACACUAAGCCACAUCUUUCUAUCGAUCCGAUAUCCAGGCCUUUGCCUACUGGUAACGCGGAACACAACACAAUGCUCCCAACAUUGGCCUGGACUCUAAUCGAAGACCGCAAGUGGAAAGGAAACUCCUGGGCGUUUGCCAAGUGCAGAAUUAGAAGGAGAAUGAAAACAUCUUCUCCCUCUAGAGUAAUCAGCAGCAAAAUAAUAUUUCACUGAAAUGCCGA